GACGAACGCUGGCGGCGUGCCUAAUACAUGCAAGUCGAGCGGAAGCUGGAGAGCUUGCUCUUCAACUUUAGCGGCGGACGGGUGAGUAACACGUGGGCAACCUGCCCUGCAGAUCGGGAUAACUACGGGAAACCGGUGCUAAUACCGAAUAGUUUUCGCCACCUCCUGGUGGCGUACGGAAAGACUGUUUAUGCUGUCACUGCAGGAUGGGCCCGCGGCGCAUUAGAUAGUUGGUGGGGUAACGGCCCGCCAAGGCAACUAUGCGUAGCCGACCUGAGAGGGUGAUCGGCCACACUGGGACUGAGACACGGCCCAGACUCCUACGGGAGGCAGCAGUAGGGAAUCUUCCGCAAUGGACGAAAGUCUGACGGAGCAACGCCGCGUGAGUGACGAAGGUUUUCGGAUCGUAAAACUCUGUUGUGAGGGAAGAACAAGUACCGACUAACUACUGGUACCUUGACGGUACCUCACCAGAAAGCCACGGCUAACUACGUGCCAGCCGCCGCGGUAACAC
rnacentral:rRNA from 1 species